GGAAACCGGAGCGCGUUCAGCGCGAGCCGAGCCGAGCCGAAAACCGGAGGACAGAAUGAUCAGAUCAUGUUGCUGCUUCAGCUCUGGAUGACAAUGUGGAUGAAGUUGUUGCCUCUCUGUUCCACCUGUAAUUCCCUAUCUGCUGCUGAUGUUGUCUGUGCUUCUUGCAAAGAUUUCCAUUGGCUGCCCUCCUUCACCUAUGGGACUAGAGAUCAAGUUGCUGCCAUACGAUAAACUGCAACUGGAACUGUCUGUUAUGGACAAUUAUAUUUUUUGUGGUUCAUGGCUGAUUCAACCUGCUGAUCUUUGUGUUUAUCAACACAGAGCAUUAAGAACAUCAAGUGAAGCUGAGAACCAAACAACAGCUACACAAACUCUCUUUGGGAUGGAUGCUCAGGUUCAUGAAACUGUCUGCUCCUGCCAUAUGAGUAAGCUCAAAGACAAACUUGUCAAUUCACACCCUCUUCAGCAAAAACCUCUACCAGAACCUGGCUGUGUACAUAGUUUGGUCAUUUAAUACUGUUGAAUCCAACUAGAGGUUUUCCUAAACCCAGUGGCAGCACACCAACUCCAGCAAGGCCUUCUAUUCUGGCCUAUCAGAAUCAUUGACAGAAUCGUUUUAAUAUCUUUAUGUCCAUCAAUAUGUAUUACAUUUUUUCCAAUUCUAUUCUCUUCAUUUCAUAGUGUUUCUCUUGUUUGCACUGCUGAAAGUGUAUGCUUACUUUGGAAUUUCUUUCCAAUUAUAUUUCAGCUGUCACAGAAUGUGUUGCCAAGCUCAACGGUAUCUAUUUGCCUUAAACCUUCCUGAUUUAUAUAUAUAAAACCCGAUGUAUGAGUGCCGUUUAGUACGACAAUAUCGAUGUACAAGUGGUUUUACUUGUAAAAAACUUUGUAGGAGUACAAGCAUAUUUCGGGAAGACGAGCAAUUCUUUUGAGGCGUUUGGUUCCAGUCACACAUUCUGCUCAUCGCUCAGCACCUCUGUCCCCACGAUUAAUGCUCAGUUGCAUCAUAAACAUUGUUCUGACUGUAUUCACAUCAUCCUCUUGUGUAAAUAUUGUGCUAUUUGUCUGUUUUUAUAGUGUUUUUGUUUUAUUUGCAUCAUGGGUCCCAAGAAGUGUAGUGAUACCGCUGAAAACAAGGUUGUAGAAAGAAUAACCACUGAAAUAAAGAAAUAGUAGAAAAGCA